rnacentral:rRNA from 1 species
GACAAACGCUGGCGGCGUGCCUAAGACAUGCAAGUCGGACGGGGGCCUUUGGGCCCUAGUGGCGGACGGGUGAGGAACGCGUGACUGACCUACCUUUUGGUGGGGGAUAACAGCCAGAAAUGGGUGCUAAGACCGCAUACGAUAGCUCCAGGCAGCUGGGGUUAGGAAAGCCGCAAGGCGCCGAAAGAGGGGGUCGCGUCGGAUUAGCUAGUUGGUGGGGUAAUGGCCUACCAAGGCAGUGAUCCGUAGCUGGUCUGAGAGGACGGCCAGCCACACU